UGGGCAAAAUAUACAUACAAAGACUGAUGUAACUUUUAUAUAAACAGAAUAACAUAUUUUUAAACAACCUCUAGAUGAUAAUCAGAACUUAAAUAAAGAUCUAUAUUUCCCAGUACUAUUGCCAACCAUUGUUAAUACAUGUCCUGGACCAAACACAUAUGGUUAAUUGAUUAAAGAAGAUGUGGUACUAAUGCCAAUGAGACAACUCUUCCUCUAAGUCACAAUUUGAAAAAGUAAACCAUUAUAGGUCAGAGUAUGGCAUUCAACAUGUAGCCUUAGUUCACAUCAAACAGCAAGCUAUUAAGUGCCCCAAAAAUGACUAGUGUAAAACCAUUCAAACAGGAAUUCAAAUUUAUUUGGAAAACAAAUCUAUAUGGUCUGGUCUGUCAACAUAAACCAAACUAAUAUAUAUACUCAUAUUUUUUUAACAUAUAAGUACCCGUGCAUCAAUAUGGUCAUGACCACAGGCAUGCAGUCCAAAAAGUGACAUGAUCCAGAACAUAUACAUAAGUAUGGCAUUCCCUUUAUUGCAAAAAUAUAAUUUUAUAAAUAAUACAAAAUAAUCAUUUGAGCUGCGUCGGAUAUAAAUCACCCAUGUGUAAAUGAAUAUCAUUACAUCUGUUAUCCUAUUUGAGGUUAAACAAAUUUCAAAGUCUGUACUUGUUUGAAAAUGUUAUAUGUUAAGGUGGUACCUAACACUUACACUAAAAUUAAUUUGGCUCUUAUAAUUUUCAUAAAAUUUUGUCAAAGUAUUUACUUUGACCCUUUAACAAAAAUAUAAAAAUUUCUAAAGCUUUGAACCAACUGUUUUGUCAGAAAAAUUACACUGGUCAUAUAGCAGUUUGACAAACACCAAUGUUGAUCAUUGAGAAGUUUAAUAUUCCCUUUACAACACAACGUAAUUAAAACAUUUAGCUGACUUUAUAGAGUUAUCUCCCUGUAGUGUUAGGUACCACCUUAAAAGAACUCUUCAAAACAGACCAAAACCUAUCUUUCAUUUCAUAUUUGAAUGUUCGAAAAUAAAUCAAAGUCUUAAAUAUGUACCUGUAUAUUUUCACUAGAAUAUGGUCGAUUUCUAUCUGAUGCAUUUCUUUCUAAAAAUAUUGUCAUGAACAAUUCACUGAUGUGUAUUAAGUCUGAAGUUGAUUAGCAAAAAACUUUUAAAACAGGUUUUUCACAAUUUUAUAUUAAGCACUUUAAUUAAAAGCAGAAGUGACUUUUGUUAUUUUUUCUCCGUUUGGAAAAACAUUUCUAUGGUUAAACCUUAAAUACUACAUUUUUGGGGGCAAAUUUCCA
rnacentral:lncRNA from 1 species